UGUCUUGACGUAUGUAUUUACCUUUGAUAUCCAUGACUCGACGCACAUUUAGCAAGUUAAAGGGACCUGUGGCCUUGCACGUGCUCUGCAUCUUCAACUGCACAGACAAAUCAUUUGUGCCAGCUACUUCCCUGCUCUCCUUCC